UUCCAGUUCCAAUAGCGUAUAUUUAAGUUGUUGCAGUUAAAAAGCUCGUAGUUGGAUUUCGGGCGGGUUUCGUCGGUCCGCCUCUGGUGUGCACUGCCGAAGCUCGCCUUUCUGUCGAGGACGGGCUCCUGGGCUUCAUUGCUCGGGACUCGGGCUCGACGAGGUUACUUUGAGUAAAUUAGAGUGUUCAAAGCAGGCGAUCGCCCUGAAUACAUUAGCAUGGAAUAGCAUGAUAGGACUCUGGCCUAUCUUGCUGGUCUGUAGGACCGGAGUAAUGAUUAAGAGGGACAGUCGGGGGCAUUCGUAUUUCAUUGUCAGAGGUGAAAUUCUUGGAUUUGUGAAAGACGAACUUCUGCGAAAGCAUUUGCCAAGGAUGUUUUCAUUGAUCAAGAACGAAAGUUGGGGGCUCGAAGACGAUUAGAUACCGUCGUAGUCUCAACCAUAAACGAUGCCGACCAGGGAUUGGCGGGUGUUCUUUUAAUGACCCCGCCAGCACCUUGAGAGAAAUCAGAGUCUUUGGGUUCCGGGGGGAGUAUGGUCGCAAGGCUGAAACUUAAAGGAAUUGACGGAAGGGCACCACCAGGCGUGGAGCCUACGGCUUAAUUUGACUCAACACGGGAAAACUUACCAGGUCCAGACACGAGGAUGAUUAACAGAUUGAGAGCUCUUUUUUGAUUUUGUGGGUGGUGGUGCAUGGCCGUUCUUAGUUGGUGGGUUGCCUUGUCAGGUUGAUUCCGGUAACGAACGAGACCUCAGCCUGCUAAAUAGUCACGUUUCCUUUCUGGAUACGCUUGACUUCUUAGAGGGACUAUUGUCGUUUAGGCAAUGGAAGUGUGAGGCAAUAACAGGUCUGUGAUGCCCUUAGAUGUUCUGGGCCGCACGCGCGCUACACUGAUGCAUUCAACGAGCCUAUCCUUGGCCGAGAGGCCUGGGUAAUCUUUGAAACUGCAUCGUGAUGGGGAUAGAUUAUUGCAAUUAUUAGUCUUCAACGAGGAAUGCCUAGUAAGCGCGAGUCAUCAGCUCGCGUUGAUUACGUCCCUGCCCUU
rnacentral:rRNA from 1 species